rnacentral:tRNA from 1 species
GAGGGUAGAGCUCAGUGGUAGAGCACAUGCCUAGCAUGCCUGGGGUCCUGGGUGCAAUCCCCAGCACCUUCA